rnacentral:rRNA from 1 species
UGGGGAAUAUUGGACAAUGGGCGAAAGCCUGAUCCAGCAAUACCGCGUGAGUGAUGAAGGCCUUAGGGUUGUAAAGCUCUUUUAGUAGGGAAGAUAAUGACGGUACCUACAGAAAAAGCCCCGGCUAACUCCGUGCCAGCAGCCGCGGUAAGACGGAGGGGGCUAGCGUUGUUCGGAAUUACUGGGCGUAAAGAGCGCGUAGGCGGUUUAGCAAGUUGGAAGUGAAAUCCCGGAGCUUAACUUCGGAAUUGCUUUCAAAACUACUUAACUAGAGUAUGGUAGGGGGUGAUGGAAUUCCUAGUGUAGAGGUGAAAUUCUUAGAUAUUAGGAGGAACACCGGUGGCGAAGGCGGUCACCUGGGCCAUAACUGACGCUGAGGCGCGAAAGCGUGGGGAGCAAACAG